GACGAACGCUGGCGGCGUGCCUAAUACAUGCAAGUUGAGCGCUGAAGGAUGGUACUUGUACCAACUGGAUGAGCAGCGAACGGGUGAGUAACGCGUGGGGAAUCUGCCUUUGAGCGGGGGACAACAUUUGGAAACGAAUGCUAAUACCGCAUAAAAACUUUAAACACAAGAUUUACGUUUGAAAGAUGCAAUUGCAUCACUCAAAGAUGAUCCCGCGUUGUAUUAGCUAGUUGGUGAGGUAAAGGCUCACCAAGGCGAAGAUACAUAGCCGACCUGAGAGGGUGGACCGCCACAACUGGAAUUGGGCACGGGCCAAGACCCCACGGGGGGCAACAGGAGGGGAUCUUCGGCCAAUGACGGAAGGCCUGCCGGACAAAGCCGGCGGAGUGGAGGAGGGUUUCCGGUUGGUAAACUCUUGUGGUAGGGAAGGACGGUGGGGAGGGUGGGAAGCUCAUCACGUGACGGUAACUACCCAAAAAGGGGCGGCUAACUACGGG
rnacentral:rRNA from 1 species